GCCGGACAAGGUAAGCAAACGAAAAUGGCGAGUGAGACAAAGUGUGUGUUGAUUUUUCGUUGGCGUGGUUCGCGGCAUGGAUCAGUGAGGAGGAGUACAAUUCAUCGAAGAGAAUGACGAAAUAACUGUGGCGUCCGUUCCUCUGUUGUGGUUCGUCGUGAGUAUGAAACAACGGCGUGUGGCCAAGCAAAAUAUCUGGGGCUGACAUCUUGUCCCGUGCACCAGACCCUGACUGACCUUCGUUUAGAGCAUCAAGUUUGCAAAAAUGCACCUUCGACGCUCAGCUGCGAAGGUUGUGAUCGACCUGCACAUCUAGAAUGGGCACCUACAGCAGCAGAACAACUGCAAGUCUGUUGGGCAGGUGCUCAGGCACGUGGUGUCUUUCAAGCACCAGGGAG